CCUUCCAACCCCUACAAUUCUGUGAUUCCGUGAUCUUAGGUUAAACUGUUGUAUUGGGGUCAUCAGACUCUUCCCAAGAUUUCCUAGAUCACAUUUCUGUGCCUGUUUUAUCCCUCAGACUUGAAAAAGCAACCUCAAUAGGAUGCUGUACCUACUUGUAGUUCUGUUACUUCGUUGUCUUUUUACCUAUGUUGACAUGCAUAUAAUCUGACAAAUGUUAUUAGCACACAGACUGGUACCAUUGCUAGGUGAGGAAGAACUGUAAGAAUGGAAUCUUGGCUUUUCUGUAGAAUGCCUGACAACACCUCUCUGCCUGCUCCAUCCUUUCUGGGCAGACUUUAAUUUUUUAUUUUUUUUAAACUUCAAAAUAAAAUUUUGAAUCUUAAAAUACAUCAACAGUGCCAUUGAUGUACGCUUUCUUCUUAUUCAUUAGAAUUUUUUAACUAGGGUUUUCAUGCUGGGAAACAUGAAACUGAGUGUUGUAACACUUGAUGUAGCACUUAUUAUAAUACUUGAUUUGUUCUCAUUAUGAUUGUUGCAUUUUCUUAUGUGUGUUAUGCUUGUCAUAGCUCCAUAUCAUAAAACACUUUGAAGCUGUCCUUAAUCUUUUUCUUUAGUUCUUUUCUUACGCUUGGGUUCCAUCCCUUCAUUUGCCAAUGUCUUUUACUCCUAAAUGAUAAAUUUUUAUAAUCUUAUAUAUUAAAAACAUAAUUAAACAUCGCUCCUUAAGUUUUGAAGUAGGCCAGUAAUACUUAAGCAUUAUUUUUCACAUAAUCUAGGUGAAAUACAAUCUGUUACUAUCAUAAAUGCAAGCUAGGACCACAUUCAAAUAUAAUAGUACAUGGGCUAAAUUUACUUAUUCUUUUCUUAUUGCUGUAGAGCAUGGAUUUCUGCACAAAAUGCUAUGCCAGUUUUUCUAGUUUACUGACCAAAAAAACCUGGAAAUGAACAUGAACUCAAAUAAAUAAAAGUGAAGUGAGAAGAAACUUUCUAUUGGCCAUGUACGACUUGUGAAUGAUUGUAGGCAUAUGGCAUAGACCAAUGGUUUGUGGUCUAAUAAUCCAGGAAACCUAACCCCACGUCUGUGGUAGAUUCAGACUGUUCCCCUUUAUUUAUUUAUUUUAUCAUUUGCUUGUUAGAACUUCUUUAAUUAAGCAAGGCUUUGUAGGCUUUCUUUUCCUGAGGUAGGCAGGAUGAGAUUUGCUUAUGCUGUUUGAAAUGCCUUGCAUUACAGUCUUAGCCUACCUGAUCUUAAAUGAUCAUUCACACGUUUUAAGAAGUUAAUUUCCUUUGGUGAGGAAUAGAAACAAAGCCUAUGUAUGCCUCCACUUCAUUGCAGAGCCCAUUUUGCUCCACAUUACACCAUGUGAUCAGCUGUGCGAAGGAACAUGCGUGUGAUCAGCUGCAUCCUGACUGAUAAGUGGCACUUGGAGAAAAUGAUUUUUGGUUGACCCUGUGCUUAGCUGGUGUCUGAGCAGGAUAUGUUAGGGGUCAACAUCAGAUGUUAGGAGGUACUAGGUCUGCAAAUGUUGAAGUUCUCUGAUCUGGAUCGUUAGCAGUCUCUGAAUUUUAAGAAUUAGGGCUACAGAAACUUCAUGCAUAUUGCCUUAUCUUCUUAAAAAAGACAACAUUUUAUUGCAGAAACAUCAUAAUUCUAUUAGCUAAUUUUAUUGUGUGCUUAUUUAUUAACAUUGAAAAUAUAUUUGUGUGUGUUUGUGUUAUUUAUCUUCCUUGAAUCUAUCAGAAGCAUUUUAAGACUAUGAAUAGAUAGUUAAGCUAGAAGAUGUAUGCUUGAUCUAAAUUUUUUUCUUUCUCUUUUUCUGUGGGGAGUGAAGGUUCAAUUGUAAGAAAUGGAUCCUAAAGGAUUACAAGGAGAAGACAAAUUGAAGAUGCUUAUUAUCUUACUAGCAUAUUUGCUAAGUAGGGUAAUUUGUGAGACUGGAGACUGCAGAGAACAAGAAUUUAGAGACCACACUGGGAACUGUAUUCUCUGCAAACAGUGUGGACCAGGAAUGGAACUCUCAAAGG